CCUACGGGAGGCAGCAGUGGGGAAUUUUCCGCAAUGGGCGAAAGCCUGACGGAGCAAUACCGCGUGAGGGAGGAAGGCUCUUGGGUCGUAAACCUCUUUUCUCAAGGAAGAUAAUGACGGUACUUGAGGAAUAAGCAUCGGCUAACUCCGUGCCAGCAGCCGCGGUAAUACGGAGGAUGCAAGCGUUAUCCGGAAUGAUUGGGCGUAAAGAGUCCGUAGGUGGUAAUUCAAGUCUGUGGUUAAAGCGUGGAGCUCAACUCCAUAAGGGCCAUGGAAACUGAAUAACUAGAGUGAGGUAGGGGUAGAGGGAAUUCUCGGUGUAGCGGUGAAAUGCGUAGAUAUCGGGAAGAACACCGGUGGCGAAGGCGCUCUACUGGACCUUAACUGACACUGAGGGACGAAAGCUAGGGGAGCGAAAGGGAUUAGAUACCCCUGUAGUCCUAGCCGUAAACGAUGGAUACUAGGUGUUGCCCGUAUCGACCCGGGCAGUGCCGUAGCUAACGCGUUAAGUAUCCCGCCUGGGGAGUACGCACGCAAGUGUGAAACUCAAAGGAAUUGACGG
rnacentral:rRNA from 1 species